rnacentral:rRNA from 1 species
CCGCCGCGCGCGGCGGGCCUACGGGAGGCAGCAGUGGGGAAUAUUGCACAAUGGGCGCAAGCCUGAUGCAGCCAUGCCGCGUGUAUGAAGAAGGCCUUCGGGUUGUAAAGUACUUUCAGCGGGGAGGAAGGCGAUAAGGUUAAUAACCUUGUCGAUUGACGUUACUCGCAGAAGAAGCACCGGCUAACUCCGUGCCAGCAGCCGCGGUAAUA